GUUUUUUUCAUCCAUCUCACGCCUUGCUUCGCGUACGCCACCAACACCAACAGAAGGAGGAGGAUGGGUGACCGGGGGAGGCUCUCCCGGCCCGGGAUGGGCCCCACGGGCCUUGCGGGCCUCCUAUAAAGCCGGCGCCACGCACAGCCGCAAACCCAUCCACCGCCAGCAACGCUCGCUCCUUCUCCCAUCCCGCCUCGCCUCAGCGCGUCAAUCCCAGCAGAUCGAUCCAUCCAUCCAUCCUCCUCCUCCUAGCGAGCGAGCGAUCAAGAGCAAACCCUAGCGCCGCCGUCGCCCCCGCGGUCUCUCCACAUCCGACUGAACGCCGGCGUGGGGUGCCCAGCCUCCACAACCGGCGACGCGACCCUCCCCGCCGCGCGCCCCCCGCCCGCCUGCAACUUUUGCGGGGGUAGCCGGGGCUCCGGCCUCGGCGGCUUUCUAAGCCCCCUUCCUUACAACAGGAUCCAAAAUCCCGUCCUAGAUUUCUUCUACCUCCCCUUCCAGAACUUCCUCUUUUGGCAUCAGUAAUCCUCGGAAUCUCAUCACCCUAGAUUGAUUUCGAUUCUUAUAAUUACUGACUUUUUCACCGUUAUUUUCUUCUUCGCUGUUCGUCGAUCGAUCUACAGCCCCUUUUCGCCUCAUACAAUUCUUUUCUUCGAUUUUUUCAUCGCCGCCGCCGCCAGAAACGAAUAGCAGAGAAAUUCCUGACUGCAUACGGCACAAAGAAACAGAAAAAUUUCUGACUUUUCCCCCCAGUGGAUUAGCUUUCUCCGGUUGUUAAUUCCGUGACGAGAUGCCUGCGCUCGCUGUCGACGCUGCCGCCCCCGUGGCCCACGCCUUCCCCGCGUGCGGCGACGCCUCGCCGCGCUUCGCGGCCGCGCCACUGCUGGGCCCCGCCGUCGCCGUAGCCGCGGCCGCUGCUGCCGACAAGCCCGAGAUGGCCGCCUGGUCGGCCGACCUCUCGUCGGCGCUCUACAACGUCGACGGCUGGGGCGCGCCCUACUUCUUCGUCAACGACGACGGCGACGUCGCGGUGCGCCCGCACGGCGCCGCCACGCUCCCCGGCCAGGAGAUCGACCUCGCCAAGGUCGUCGCCCGGGCGGCCGGCGCGCGCGCCGGCGGCGGGCUCGGCCUCGCGCUGCCGCUGCUCGUGCGCUUCCCCGACGUGCUGCGCCACCGCGUCGAGACCCUCAACGCCGCCUUCGCCUACGCCGUGCGCUCCACGGGCUACGCCGGGCGGUACCAGGGCGUCUACCCCGUCAAGUGCAACCAGGACCGGUACGUGGUCGAGGACAUCGUCGAGUUCGGCGCGCCCUUCGGGUUCGGCCUCGAGGCCGGCUCCAAGCCCGAGCUGCUGCUCACCAUGAGCUGCCUCGUCGCCCGCGGCAGCCCCGACGCCCUGCUCAUCUGCAACGGCUACAAGGACCUCGAGUACGUCUCGCUCGCGCUCAUCGCCCGCACCAUGGGCCUCAACACCGUCAUCGUGCUCGAGCAGGAGGAGGAGCUCGACAUUGUCGUCGAGGCCAGCCGCCGCCUCAACAUCCGCCCGGUGGUCGGCAUGCGCGCCAAGCUGCGCACCAAGCACGCCGGCCACUUCGGCGCCACCUCCGGCGAGAAGGGCAAGUUCGGCCUCAACGCCGCGCAGAUUCUCUCCGUGGUGGCCAAGCUCAAGGCCCUCGCCAUGCUCGACUGCCUCCAGCUCCUGCACUUCCACAUUGGCUCCCAGAUCCCCACCACCGCCCUGCUCGCCGACGGCGUUGGCGAGGCCGCGCAGAUCUACUGCGAGCUCGCCCGCCUCGGCGCGGCCAUGCGCGUCAUUGACGUCGGCGGCGGCCUCGGCAUCGACUACGACGGGACGCACUCGGCGCAGACCGACAUGUCGGUGGCCUACAGCCUGGAGGAGUACGCGGCGGCCGUGGUCGCCGCCGUCGGCCGCGUCUGCGACCGCAAGGGCGUGCAGCACCCUGUCAUCUGCAGCGAGAGCGGCCGCGCGCUGGUGUCGCACCACUCGGUCCUCAUCUUCGAGGCCUUCUCCGCGACGGCGCCGGCUUCCAACAUGAUGGACCCGGCCACCGCCUACCUGCUCGACGAGCUCACCGACGACUGCCGCAGCGACUACCGCAACCUCAUGGCCUCCGCCGUGCGCGGCGACUUCGACACCUGCGGCCUGUACGCCGACCAGCUGAAGCGGCGCUGCGCCGAGCAGUUCAAGGAGGGGGUCCUCGGGCUGGAGCACCUCGCCGCCGUGGACGGGCUCUGCGAGAUCGUCGCCCGCGGCAUGGGCGCGGCGGAGGGGCCGCGCAGGUACCACAUCAACCUGUCGGUGUUCACCUCGCUGCCGGACAUGUGGGCCAUCGAGCAGCUCUUCCCCAUCAUCCCCAUCCAGCGCCUCCAGGAGCGGCCCGCCGUGGACGGCGUGCUCUCGGACCUGACCUGCGACAGCGACGGCAAGGUGGACCAGUUCAUCGGCGGCAGGAGCAGCCUCCCCCUGCACGAGCUCCCGACCCACGGCACCCGCGGCUACUACCUGGGCAUGUUCCUGGGCGGCGCCUACCAGGAGGCGCUGGGCGGCCUGCACAACCUGUUCGGCGGGCCGAGCGUGGUGCGCGUCUCCCAGAGCGACGGGCCACACUGCUUCGCCGUGACGCGCGCCGCGCCAGGCCCGUCGUGCGCCGACGUGCUCCGCGCCAUGCAGCACGAGCCGGAGGUGAUGUUCGAGGUGCUCAAGCAGAGGACCACCGACGACGGCGCCACCGCCGCGGCGCUCGCCAGGGCGUUCGGGUCAAUGCCGUACCUGUCGUUCGACGCCGAGGAGGCCUCGGCCAUGAGCGGCGCGGAGUCGAGCGGCAUGAGCAGCGACUCGGAGGGGUCGGCUGCCGGCGCCGCCGAGGAUGAUGACGAGGAGUGGGAGUUCAUGCGCGGGCUCACCGUGUGAGGGCGAGCUCUUUCUAUAUCUAUCACCGGUCGAACCGGCCGGUGAUGUUGUAUCGUGUCACUCAUGGUCGUAGCGAGGUCGUCGGGCGUCUCGUCGCCGUUUAGUUUCACCGCCGGAGUUUGUUUUGGCGCCAUCUUUUUUAUUUCCCAUGCGUCAGUCCACUGUUUCUUUCAACUUUUUUCUCUUGGAAUAAAUAACAAAAGGAAACUAUCAGUACUAUGUUUCUUUCGAUUGCAAUUUGUUUACUCCGGC
rnacentral:rRNA from 1 species